UAUUGGACAAUAGGCGAAAGCCUGAUCCAGCAAUGCCGCGUGAGUGAUGAAGGCCUUAGGGUUGUAAAGCUCUUUUACCCGGGAUGAUAAUGACAGUACCGGGAGAAUAAGCUCCGGCUAACUCCGCGCCAGCAGCCGCGGUAAUACGGAGGGAGCUAGCGUUGUUCGGAAUUACUGGGCGUAAAGCGCACGUAGGCGGCUUUGUAAGUUAGAGGUGAAAGCCUGGAGCUCAACUCCAGAAUUGCCUUUGAUACUGCAUCGCUUGAAUCCAGGAGAGGUGAGCGGAAUUCCGAGUGUAGAGGUGAAAUUCGUAGAUAUUCGGAAGAACACCAGUGGCGAAGGCGGCUCACUGGACUGGUAUUGACGCUGAGGUGCGAAG
rnacentral:rRNA from 1 species